rnacentral:tRNA from 1 species
GGUAGCGUGGCUGAGUGGUCUAAGGCACUGUUUCUAGGCACCAGUCAUUUCGAUGACGUGGGUUCGAAUCUCACCGCAACUG